rnacentral:sRNA from 1 species
AAAUAUAGAGGCAAUCUGGUUGCAACAACUGUCACCUCAUUGAAUGCUAGGGUUGAUUCAACAGAUAUGGCUGGCUAGGCUGGUGUUCUCUUCUUCCUUCACUGCUUGCUCCAUGUACAUCCCUCCCAAAGCUGUGCACUUUGUAGAAGAGGAUGACCAUCCCAGAUAGAAGGAGUGAAGCAUUCUUUGGUCAAGGGUACAUGAUCGCACCACUCCCCUGCUAGAACCUCCAUUGCUCCAACUUUCUUUCAAUUCUCCACUUCUCCUUCAUACAUAUUUCAAUUCAUGAUUGGCUAUAGUGU